rnacentral:sRNA from 1 species
GUGCUGCUGCUGCUGCUGCUGCUGUUGCUGCUGCUGUCUGGGUACAAGUGCUGCUGCAGCAGCAGCAGCUGCUGCUGCUGCAGCCAUUGCUGCUGCUGCUGCUGCUGUUGCUGCUGCUGCUGCUGUUGCUGCUGCAUUUGCAGCAACAGCAUCUGCUGCUGUCGCAUUUGCUGCCGCUGCAGCAGCAGCAGCAGCAGCAGCAGGAGUUGCUGUUGUGGUGUUGUCCUUACAGCAGCAGCAGCAGCAGCAGCAACCCCAA